GCGUUGGUGGUUUAGUGGUAAAAUUGAUCGUUGCCAUUAGGAUCCACAGCUUCAACACGAAGAAGCUUACGAUUCCAAGCUCGAUCAGCCCCGGGUUCGAUUCCCGGCCGACGCA